UAUAAUUUAGCCGUACAAAAUCAAAAACUAUUCAUGAAUUAUCAUUCUCAAAUGGAUACACAAGAUGGUGGAUGGCGUCAAAUAAAAAAAAAGAUGAACCAUAGACUAAACGUCAGUCGCUAUCAGAUUUCAAUCUGUCACUCACUUCCGUCUUGUUUGUUCUGUUUGUUUUUAUUGCGUUUACGCGUUUAUCUGUCUGUCUCCCGAGUUCUUUUUAUCAACAUUUCUCUGUGACCUGGCUUUCGUUCUUGGAUUGCUAUCUGCCUCAUCUGAUGACCAUGGCAUGUGUUGUAUGGACUUGAGACACAUCGUGCGAUUUGACUGUUGUUUUGAUAAACAUCCUCCUAGGAUCCGAUUGAUUCCCGAUACUAUCAGUGUAGUGAAAUGGGCCCUGAAAUCAUUUCUAUUAUUCAAAAUGCCAUAUGCCAAAAGGCACCCGAAGAUGGCUUAGUGUGCUAUGAGUGUUGAGUAAGAGUUACAUGAUCUGAGAUCUCUUCCGCAGCAAGAAGUUGAAGCUUACAGGAAAGCGAGAACCCUCGACAAUUAAUACUUGUGUAUGGUGCUUAGGCUCUCUUGUUGAGACCAGAAGGCAUUCUUUGCCCGAGGGACCGGAACAGGAUGAAAUAAUUGCAAGAUUUUUCCUAGAGAUUCCAUGUGGCUGGUGGCCAUGUAUGUUAUGCGUGCUGGGUUUCAGCAUGUAAAAAUGUGCAAAGAGCCCGGAACUCCUCUCUGAAGGCAAACUCGUGCCAUAACUACUGGGCCAGCAAGAAUUAGCAACCAGGCCCUGUGUUAGUAAGGGUUGUGUAUAAAGCCUCGUCAUCAUUCUGGAAGAAAAAUAUGUACUCGUACAAUCACCAUUGUUUGGUACUUGGGUUGGGCUCGGCUAGUGUCCUGCUAUUGCUGCACCGGCCUCAUUCUUGGAUAAUAUUUUAAUAAGGGAAGAUGAUGAUUGAAUAAAAACUAAUGAAAAUAA